rnacentral:rRNA from 1 species
GACGAACGCUGGCGGCGUGCCUAACACAUGCAAGUCGAGCGAAUGAAGUUCCUUCGGGAACGGAUUUAGCGGCGGACGGGUGAGUAACACGUGGGCAACCUGCCUCUUAGAGGGGAAUAGCCUUCCGAAAGGGAGAUUAAUACCGCAUAAGAUUGUAGUACCGCAUGGUACAGCAAUUAAAGGAGCAAUCCGCUAUGAGAUGGGCCCGCGGCGCAUUAGCUAGUUGGUGAGGUAACGGCUCACCAAGGCGACGAUGCGUAGCCGACCUGAGAGGGUGAUCGGCCACAUUGGGACUGAGACACGGCCCAGACUCCUACGGGAGGCAGCAGUGGGGAAUAUUGCACAAUGGGGGAAACCCUGAUGCAGCAACGCCGCGUGAGUGAUGACGGCCUUCGGGUUGUAAAGCUCUGUCUUCAGGGACGAUAAUGACGGUACCUGAGGAGGAAGCCACGGCUAACUACGUGCCAGCCGCCGCGGUAAUAC